AUUGAACGCUGGCGGCAGGCCUAACACAUGCAAGUCGAGCGAGCGGCGGACGGGUGAGUAAUGUAUGGGGACUGCCCGAUAGAGGGGGAUAACUACUGGAAACUGUGGCUAAUACCGCAUACUAUCGGAUAACCCAUAUGGGAUUAGCUAGUAGGUGGGGUAAAGGGUCACCUAGGCGACGAUCUCUAGCUGGUCUGAGAGGAUGAUCGCCCACACUGUGAGUGAGACACGGCCCAGACUCCUACGGAGGCAGCAGUGGGGAAUAUUGCACAAGGGACGAAAGCCUGAUGCAGCCAUGCCGCGUGUAUGAAGAAGGCUUUAGGGUUGUAAAGUACUUUCAGCGGAGAGGCGUUACCCGCAGAAGAAGCACCGGCUAACUCCGUGCCAGCCGCCGCGGUAAUAC
rnacentral:rRNA from 1 species